rnacentral:tRNA from 1 species
GGGAAUGUGGCUGAGUGGUAGAGUGCUUGCCUAGCAUGCAAGGGUUCCAUUCCUC